AUUGAACGCUGGCGGCCGGCCUAACACAUGCAAGUCGAGCGAGCGGCGGACGGGUGAGUAAUGUCUGUGAAACUGCCUGAUGGAGGGGGAUCACUACUGGAAACGGUAGCUAAUACCGCAUACCAUCAGAUGUGCCCAGAUGGGAUUCGCUAGUAGGGGGGGUAAUGGCUCACCUAGGCGACGAUCACUAGCUGGUCUGAGAGGAUGACAAGCCAAACGGGGACUGAGCAACGGUCCAGAUUCCUACGGGAGGCAGCAGUGGGGAAUAUUGAACAAUGGGCGCAAGCCUGAUGCAGCCAUGCCGCGUGUGUGAAGAAGGCCUUAGGGUUGUAAAGCACUUUCAGCGAGGAGGCGUUACUCGCAGAAGAAGCACCGGCUAACUCCGUGCCAGCAGCCGCGGUAAUAC
rnacentral:rRNA from 1 species